AUGAUGCCUUUUUUUUCUCCUUUUGGGACAGUGUCUUUACUUCCACACAGUUCUUGCCCUUGUUACCAGCAUUUUCCAGACCUCAGAAGAAAGUUCGAGAAGGAUCCUGGUCUUGGUGAUGUGAGAGCUCCCUUGUGCCACGUUUUAGAGCCUCUGUUUCUUUUUGCCUACCAAUGCAAGAUGAACAUCUUUGACAUCAGGGGUGUGAUGCCCUUCCCAGUGCGUCACAUCAGGAGCCACACGAUGCCACUGUCUCUCAUGUUUGUUAGCUCUGACUACUUGGUUAUGAAGUGUCCGCCAGGCUGAUGCUUUGUCUAUGUAAGUUGCUCCUAUAUCUCAACAGCCUUUCCCCCUGUGGCUUUAGGAUCCUUGGAUCAUUCUCUCCUAGAUCUGUUAUUAUAGAAAGGUGUGCAAAAUGGUGAUUUUCCUAUUCAGUAAUUUUUUCUACAUUAGCUGAUAUUCCUCUCUAAAAAUACCCCUCCCCCUUUUAGUAUCAUUAUGGGUUCCCAAAUUGAGCCAGCCAGCCUGCCUGCCUGCCUUCCUUCCUUCCUUCCUUCUUUCCUUCCUUCCUUCCCUUUUCAACCCAUUAUCUUCAUUGGUCUUUUUGAUUCUCAAAUUGUCCCAAUUUUGGACAUAAAAGCCCAUUUAAGCUGACAUGGUCCUAACAGAAUUUCCAAAAACUCACCUUGUUCUUUCCUGCGGGGGCAUUUUUGACUUUCAAAGGCUUGGGAUUUCCCUCUAUCCUACAUCUACCUGUUCUGUGAAAUUUAGUUAGGUUAUAGCAAUCUAUCUUGUAAUUUAAAAUAAAAACAUGUUCACUCUGCACACACAAGAGAUGCAAUUUGCACACCAGACCUUGGCCCACUGCCACAAGCUCCUGGAAUGCAGCAAACCCAGGGCCUGUGGUUAAGCCCUUCUCUGAGCUUGUCAGGAUGAACUCUCCUUAUCAGCUGGAGCUGGCAAAAAGAUGGUGGACAUAAAGACAGUGGGGCUGGAAGGAACCCAUUUUGGAUAAAGAAAUUUUCCAUUAAGAAGAAAUAUAACCUUCUUUAUUCUUCAAGCUAUUAGAGCAUUGAGAAUAGAGCUUUAUAAUUAUAAGUAGAAUGACCUGGAACAAAGUUUAUGCAUGGACUAGCGGAGGUUAGAGUGCGAGCACGUCCAUGCCACAUAAGCUUUUGGAUGGUCCAGCCUGAAAAUGUUCCAGAUUUGUCCUAGGACACAGAGGUUUCAACUAGAGUGGUUGUUUCUGGCAAGAUUGGUCAUUUCUUUUAUAUGUAAGAUAUUUUAAAAUGUAAUGGUACCUCGAGAACCAAUGGAAUAAGGCCUUGUGGAGCCAACAGGAUGAAACCUUCGCAUCCAGACAGCUGUCCAUCCAGCGCAUCCCUAGCCUACUGCAGGGAUGUCCUCACUGUCAGUUUUCCCCCUGUGAACUCCACAUCCAGCGAGUUCACCAGAGGUUAAUAUGGGAGGCUGAGACCUAAGGGGAACUUUAGCUACCAUUUAUACAUUUUAUGGAACCUUCCAUCAGAGAGGUGCUGGAAGCCACACUGACCCAUGAGGAAAAGUGAAAGCUGGAACUUCAUUUGCUGAGAUGGCAGAAGAAUAAGCUUUAGCUGGAAAAUUGUUCCUUCUCACUACUCAGUUUUAAGAUUUUUUUUUUUUUUUGGUAGCUCUGCAAACCAUUUAAUUGAUGUUAUUAUCAUCAGCAGCAUCAUUAGCAUUUCAAAAAAGUCUGCUAAAUUAAGAAUAUUUGCUUUCUAGUCCGUCAUAGGUAAGAAGAAUACCUGCCUCGCAAGGUCAUUGAUUGGUACACGAGAUCACACACAGGGAGCGUUCAUCACUGGGAGCCCAGAAAACACUGCUGGUGAUGAGUGAACAAGCUUGGUUGCUGCCAUGAUCUGGCCUGGGAACACUUCAGAAUUAAAAAUGCUCUUCCCAAGCCAUUAAAUAAUUCUUCUUGUUUCAGUCAUGUGAAAUCUCCUGGCUGCUCACUGUGGUGGAUGAUAAGUCACAAGUGGAUGUUAGGAGGCAAAUUUGACUGUCCUUUCCCCUCACUAGAGAAGGGGAAAUUAGCCAGAAUGCUGCUUUCCUUGGUGCUAAAACUUCACUGGAUUGGUUUUAAACCUUUUUUUUUAUUUAAAUAUUUUUCUUAACUGCAGUGAGAUUGGGUCACACAGAUAUUAUCGUGUCUAAAUUAUACAUCCUGUGGCAUUUAUCACAAGACAUUUUCACUGCUCUAACAGAUGAGUGGGAAGUUCUGCUUUUAAGAACGUGUCUUUCACAGGUUGGCACUAAGUGGUGUCACAAUCCCAUGUCCCCCAGGAUUGUCCUGGCCUUGGGGUUCACUGUGCUCUCUGGCCACGCUUCUCACCGCUUCUCCUGACUCUGCGCCAUGAGGGUUUGACAUUUUUACCCAUCCGCAUAAUCAAAGGAAAUCAAGUUAUUGCUUUAUUACUGAGGUUCCCUUAGGCUGUGUCUAUAGAAUACCAAUUAUAUGGCUGGAAAUUGGGAUAAGUCAAUUAUCUUAUUUUUCCCAAAGAGUUUAACACAAUCUGAGAUUUGGAUUAAUAUUGUGACACAUGCCAUCCUGAGAAAUGUCUCAGACUUUUGUUUAGCGAGUUAAUCCUCUUGCUAUCUUCACUUUUCAGUAGUCACCCUGGCAGUUGACAUUCAAGAAGCACAGUUCUGCUGUUAUGACAGCCUUGGAAGGUGAAUGGAUGGUAAAGCCUUUUUUUCUUUUUUUUUUUUUUUUUUGAGAUGACACCAUCUCAUUCUUACUCAUGCUUGUCAUUCUCUUGCACUCCUAAAAUACC
ensembl:lncRNA